rnacentral:hammerhead_ribozyme from 1 species
AGCUAGUUGACGAGUCUCAAAUAGGACGAAAUGCGCGUUGUUCUGGAU